rnacentral:rRNA from 1 species
GACGAACGCUGGCGGCGUGCUUAACACAUGCAAGUCGAACGAAGUGGCGCACGGGUGAGUAACGCGUAAUUCACCUGCCCUUCAGAGGGGGACAACAGUUGGAAACGACUGCUACUACCGCAUACUUAAGGAGGGGAUUGCGUCUGAUUAGCUAGUGGGAGGGGUAACGGCCCACCACGGCGAUGAUCAGUAACCGGGCUGAGAGGAUGAACGGCCAAAUUGGGACUUAGGCACGGCCCAGACUCCUACGGGAGGCAGCAGUGGGGAAUCUUCCGCAAUGGACGAAAGUCUGACGGAGCAACGCCGCGUGAGUGAUGACGGCCUUCGGGUUGUAAAGCUCUGUUAAUCGGGACGCGGUACCGGAAUAGAAAGCCACGGCUAACUACGUGCCAGCCGCCGCGGUAAUAC